rnacentral:lncRNA from 1 species
CUGUGCAUGGGCCCCUUCGACCCCAUGCCCACGGGCCUCCCAGGCUGGCGGUCCUGAAGACCCCGUGCACACGGGCGUGUACCGUACCUACGGGACCCCCGUGUCCACGGGCCUCACGGACCCCGUGCGCACGGGCCCUUGCGUCCGGUCCCUGGAUACCUCGUGCGCACGGGCUCCACUUACCCCGUGCACACGGGCCCCCUGUGUGAUGCUGCGGGCUUUGCCCUUGUUUUACCAUUUCGCCCCCACCUAUUCCCCUCUUUGCCUAGGACUAUAUAUACUCGUUCAUCUCCUCCAUUUAGACUUAGCUAAGAUGAGAUCUAAACACUAGAGCUUAGCUCAUGUACCUCCCCUUGUGGGAUUCCACUCCAUUGGAGUUCAAGACCUCCAUUGGAGAAGAUCCCUAGUGGAUGAAGACCCCCUUGAGGGAAGGAUCUAUCUAGAUCAUCAAUCCCUCAUCUCCUUCAUAGGAUUUGGGAUGAACUCUACCAUGUAUGUUAUUUCCCUUUGUUGUUCAUGUACCUUGUGGAUCUUAUGUGUUUGAUUGUCUAGUGGAUUUGUGAUUUGACUUGUUCUUGAGUGUUCCUCUUGUUUUCCCUCCUUUGUUCAUCUUGUUCUUGGGAAUUCCACCUCCAAUUCAUGAAAGAUCUCUCCAUAGGGUUCCACCCUACAUCAUAUGGUAUCAUGAGCCAUGGUUGAUCACGAAAUUGGAGCCCCUACCCCGUGUUUUCUAGCUUGAUUUUGUUGUUUUCGUCCUAAAUCCGAAAAUCCCCACCAAAAAUAGCCCCCAAAAUUUUUGUGAUUUGUUGGUUUGGUGAUGUUUUGUUGGAUUUGAUCCAUGGAUUUGCUUGGUUUUAAGUGGAUCUAGCCUUCCCCCAUCUUUUCCCCACCAUCCAUCCCCAAAAUCUCCCCAUUUUUGCCCUAGAAAUCUUCAAUUUCCGCCUCAAAAUCGCGAAAUUUCUGCCCACCCCGUGCCCAUGGACCCCAGACCCCGUGCGCACGGGCCCCCGAAAAGUCUCUGGACACCCCGUGCCCACGGGCUUGUACCGUGCGCACGGGACCCCGUGCCCACGGGCUUGUACCGUGCGCACGGGACCCCGUGCCCACGGGCUCCUACCCCNNNNNNNNNNNNNNNNNNNNNNNNNNNNNNNNNNNNNNNNNNNNNNNNNNNNNNNNNNNNNNNNNNNNNNNNNNNNNNNNNNNNNNNNNNNNNNNNNNNNNNNNNNNNNNNNNNNNNNNNNNNNNNNNNNNNNNNNNNNNNNNNNNNNNNNNNNNNNNNNNNNNNNNNNNNNNNNNNNNNNNNNNNNNNNNNNNNNNNNNNNNNNNNNNNNNNNNNNNNNNNNNNNNNNNNNNNNNNNNNNNNNNNNNNNNNNNNNNNNNNNNNNNNNNNNNNNNNNNNNNNNNNNNNNNNNNNNNNNNNNNNNNNNNNNNNNNNNNNNNNNNNNNNNNNNNNNNNNNNNNNNNNNNNNNNNNNNNNNNNNCAGUUUUGCCCAUAACUUCCACAUCCGGAGCCUGAUUUUCGCGUUCUUUAGCUUGUUGAGUAGCUAUUGAUAUCCCCCAUCCACCUAAAUAGGUUCCCACACCAUUUGACUCCACCAAAAUUUCGGCAUUUUGGCAAGAUUGCCUAGGCCCUCCACCAUAGCAUCCGCUACACCACCAUCGACUUUCGCAACCUAACCCAUCUUGAUCCCCUUAGCAUUAGUGGUUGCUUGAGUAGUGAUUUGAGUCUCCUAAGGUGUUUCGGCUACUUAGGGACAUUUGCUUCUUCACAAACCACCACCACUUCCACAUUGCCAUUUCCACUUCCACCAUUUGACAUUUGUCAUUUGAGAUUUUGAGUUUGCGGUUUUUACCGUUUCCUAUGGUGUUUCGGCUACUUAGGGAUGGGUCUACAUCAUCUUGGUAUCUAUAUCAAGAACACCGCCACUCAUCAUCGUAAAGGACGGUAACCUCGACGACACCAUUGUAUAUUUCCCUUGCAAUUGCAUUGUUAACCCCUAGCCCAUUUUGUGUUACUUGCCUAUCGAGACUAGCCAUUUGAUUAUUGCCGGCAACGUUACUUGUGCACAUUAGUGAUCAUACUUCCCAUAUCAUACAUACCAUCUCAUCGUGGUGCAUAUAUUGGUAUCAUAUCUCGUGUCACAAGUUUGUUCCCGCAUAUACUCAAUUGCUAUCUUGGUUUGUGCAUUGUGCAAAUUGGCCAUAGAAAAAAAAGAAAUAAAGCUUUUAAGCAAAAGAAAGAGUGCAAAGAAGCUUGUAAGCAAGUGCCAUAGCAUCAUACCCCAUUGCACAUAAGAUUGUCAUAUCCGAUCAUCUUGGAUCAUCUUGAGAGAAACACCAGGAACCAUACAUACAUAGCAUACUUGGGAUAAAAGUUUAUCCAUUUUGCAUCUUAUAGGUUGUGCACAAGUGUCGUAUCCGCCUAUUGAGCAAUCAUGCUAGCAUCUCUCUUGAGUUGUGAAACACGAGCGUUUUCUGUGGACUCCACAUUUUGUGCUCAUUCCUUGGUUGCACGACCCCAUUUAUCUAUCCGUGUGUGUGUUUCCGUGUACCACAUUUUCUAUUGGUCUACUUAUUUCACUUGCGAAUUUGUGAAUCUUUUCCAACAUUAUUGACUCUUGCUAACAUUUUGCAUCAAAUUUUUGUGCCACUAUCCUCACCGAGCUCUACCAUAAGCUUUACUUGAUAGGUGUGAGUGAACAAGUCCGGUACCAAUUCCACUAUUCUUUCAUUUCACAUUGAGUGAUACAAGAUACAUCCUCAACUUUGGGAAAAGGUAGUUUGGUAUUCUUUAUCUCAUUUCCUACUCACCUUUGCUCGAGUCUUAUGAUGGAUAGGCAAGGCAUUUCCCUCCGGUCUACGACAACAACGACGGCGUGAACAACUACAUCACAAAAGCGUCCAUCUUCAAUCUACAAUGACAAAUGCAUGGCGCACAAUCAAGAUUGCGAGAGCGCAUCGAGAACAUCUCCAUUGACAUUCGUCACUCCGAAGCAAGGAAAAGGGACUACAUCGACAAGAAGCUUUCCGUACAUAAAGAGGAGCAAGAUGCAAGGAUGGAGGAGAUUAGAACCUUGAUCAAGUCUUCUUCCCCUUCGUCAUCUUCAAGGCGGCGACGUUCAAGCCACAAGUCUUCGGAGCGCAAAAAAGAUGCAAGUGCAAAUCGUCCUCGUCCACAUCUACAUGGCGACCACCAUCACGUUCGUGAUCAACAUCAUCAUGAAGGGCAAGUCACAUCCAAGCAUCAUGUGCACGACGACAACGAACGAAAUCUACUACGAGAUCAAGCACGGCAAUGACAUCAUCAUCAUGAAGAUGCUCCACAAGAGCAAAUGCACAAGUCCCAACAAGCCCUACUUCAUGCCAAGUCCAAGCUUCAAUAGCACACAAGAAGACCGAGAGACGACCACCACCAAGACGGCGCUACGGCUACACCAACCACUUUGGCAUCUUCGCCAAGUGCUAUCAAGGCAUCUUCGGCCUUCAUCCAUGACGAGAGUGAUGAUGUGCCAUCUUCGGUCUUCAUCCACGACGACGAUGACGAGAUGGUUGAGCAUGGGAUUUUCCCUUUGACCACGGCGACGUAUGAUGACUUGAGUGACUUUUGCCACCAUAUUGAGAGUGAGAGUGACUUCAGCACUAGCCCCAUAUAUGACGAGUUGCCCCACUUUCCAUGUGAGGAGAGCCACCACCACAUGAGUGACAUGAGUGACUCCACCAUAUGUGACAUUGAGAGCAUUCCCCAUGAGAGGAUGAGUGUGACCACCACUAGCCCCACACAUGAGAGCAUGCCACACAUCCUAUGUGAGGUUGAGCACCAUUUGAGUGACUCUACCAACCAUAUGAGUGAGAGCAUCCUUGAGGGAGUGAGUGAGCCACAACACUUAGUGAGUGAGGUAGUUGACACGGCAUGUGAGGCCACCAUGAUUUCUAAUGACUUAACCUCUACUCCUAGUGUGUUUUCUUCUUUGGUGCUAGGUCUCCUACAUGACGGCAUGCCUAUCCUCGAUGAGUCCAUCCCUCCAAUGGACAAAAAUGAUGUCCAUGGUGGACGAUGAUGCACCCCCCACAUGGUUCCAUCAAGAUGAAGAUGACAACGAGACGAUCUUCAACACCUCACCUACAACACAUGAGCGACGCUCCAAAGGUAACAUAGGUGAUGGUGCUUCUCUUGUCCCACUAGUGGACGCUCUUGACAAUGAUUGCUCCCAUGACGUUGACCCACCUAUUACCAUGCUUCAUGCUAGUGAAACUUUUUCAUGCCUUGACUUACCUAUUUAUGAUGAAUAUGUUGAUGAGCAUGUUGAGUUGCCUAGUUGUGAUGCUAUGCUCCAUAGGAUAUCAUGUGAAAAUUCUUUUGGUCACAUCAUGUUUGAUAAUCCAUUGAACUUGUCAUAUGCUAUGAGUGAGAUCUCCCAUAUUGCAUCUUUACAAUGGCAACAUAGUAACUAUGCAUGCCCCAUUAAAAUAAAUCCCAUUUGCACUUAUGGCAUAGAUGACGAGAUGAUGGUCAUUGGCUUUUGCUUUUCAUGUGAUGAUAUUGCCAUGCUUCCUUUACAUGAUUUGCGCAAUUCAUCUACUAUGCCAUGACAUGAUCACAUUGCACCACAUAUGCUUUGUUUUGGAUGUUAUCAAUAUUCUCCACGUGAUGUUGCUACUCAUGCUCAUGAGGAGACCCCCAUAGUUUCCUCAUACCCAUUAGGAGAUUUUGAUCCAUCCUAUGAUUUGCAUGAUUUCCAUGAUUGUGUACACCAUAUGCUCCCCAUGAAUAAACAUGCUUUUGAUGUGCCAUAUACUUGUUUGCUCAAUUUGUGUCCCCAUCGUGUCAUACAUAACAACUAUCCUUUCAUGAUGGAUGACAUGUUCAUAUACCAUGCCUCAAAUUUCUUUGAGCAUUGCUUAUCUUGUGCUAACUCACACGUGCACAUACACAUCAUGAUGGAUGAUGUGUACAUUUACCACACACACAAUUUCUUUGGAUUGUGUCUCUUUUAUGUAGGUACUCAUGUAUAUUCGUCAACCUCUCAAUCCCAAGAGUUGACGAAACGAGCUCUUGGGAGCAACGAUGCUUUGGGAUCCCGUGGACUAUCCUUACCACCGUCCCCUUCGCGCAAGGACUACGCGCAUCUCCUCUACUUGGCUCUCACACGGCUAUGGGCCAUUUAGCACUUGUCACAUUAUGCUCAUUUUACAGUGUUCACUUUGCAUGCUAUGCUUGCUUCUAUGCCUUUGCCAUGCAAUUGUGACCCUUGCUUGCAUCUACCCAUGUUUCAUCAUUAUGCUACUUCUAUGUGUAUUUGCAUGCUUGGUAGAUAUCCUUGUUGCUAUUGCCAUGUUUAUCAUGUGCCUCAUGUUAUUUUAUUCAUAUCUUGCUUUCAUGCUUCUGAUAUGUCAUGUGCAUUAUUCAUGCCCACUAUUUGCACACAUGACAUGCUUGCCAUGAUUCCUCCUAGUAUGUUGCAUCUUCGCACUACUAGCUUGCUUGACUUGAUUGCUAUGAUUGCUUGCUAUGUUGCAUCACCCAUGUUCCACUAUUACUUGCUUUCUUGGGUUGAUGACAUAUAUGCUCAUGCCUCUCACAUGAUAUAUCUUGAUCAUUGUCUCUUAUGUCAUACUUGCUCAUCUCAUGCGGUUGAUGACAACCAUCUAUAUGCUUUGCAAAUGAUUCAUAUUGCUUCGUGUCAUAUAUCUCCAUGUGUUGCCUCUCUCAUGCUAGAUGAUUUGCCAUGUAUUGGGUGCAACAAUGCUUAUAGUCUUGCUCUUAAGAUUGCCCCCAUAGCAUUCUUACAUAUGUUUGGAGAUUUUGACAUAUUCUUUGUGACGCAUGCUUGUCUUACAUCUUUGCACCAUAUACCUAGUGCCAUGAAUAUCGCCAUUGUUGCAUCAUAUUAUUCAUGCACUUGUGCUUCUAAUGGUUAUGUGCAAGAGAAGAGAACCAUCAUGAUGGAUGAUGUGUUUAUCUACCAUGCUCAUACGCUCUUUGUUUUGGUGUGUGCAUUUGUAGGAUACUUGGACUUCAUGUCGACAUCCACUUCAUAUGAGUUGACCAUUCGAGCUCUUGAGAGCGAGCCUCAUACAUUCGACCAUGACUCACUUCUACACCACAUUUCCUACCACUUCGACAUUGUGAAGAACGCACAAGGACAUGCUUUGGAGGUGAUAUCCUUCUAUCUCGAGAACACCCAAACCAUGAGCAUGCAUAUUGUGGAACAUACUUCAUGUGUUGCUUGCUCCAUGACACUUUGCACAUAUGCUAGAGAUCUUGCUUCGACCUAUCAUUACCACAUUGCCAUGCCACAUGAUAUAUAUGCCUUGUGUGUUGCAUCUAGUUCUUCACAUAUGCCAUGUCCCUUUGCUUAUCACAUGCUUGACUUGAUUACCUCACACAUGUUGAACAAUUGUUCUUUCCAUGGUGUUGAGUGCCACGAUAUCUUCACUACACCGUAUGCACGUUAUGCUUGGAUUGUCUUGCACUUACCCCAUGUGUUUAGACAUUUCACUAUAUUUGGUGUUGUGAAUGACUUUUAUGCCUACCAUAGACCGUUCAUUGAGCACUUUAUGCAUGCUUGCUAUGACCUUGACGUAGAUGCUUGUUCACUUAUCACAUAUAUUUGCAUCUUGACCUCCCAUUUGCAUGCUUGUUCCCAUGAUGUACUUGAUUGUGCUCAAUUUAUAUGCUCAAAUGCCAUGACACACUUCUUUGUAAAACCAUAUGCUAUGAUUGAUGACAACACUUGUUGGGUGAAUCACCUCUUGAAUGCUUGGUUUUACUCUUACGACAACCACAUUUGUUUUUCCAAGUGCUUGUUAUCUUUGCUCCUUUUGAAGGAAUUACAAGACGGUGCGACAUUGGAGAGUGCCCAUUUCGAACUACAAGAUGACGAAUGCUUGGUGAUCGUCCACUUCUACACGAUGCCAUCAUCUCUUUCCCAUGGUGAUUUGGAUUUCGAUCCGAGGUCGGAUCUUUCCCAAGGGGGAGGGGAUGAUGCAGAGCAUCCUAUGGACAUCACCAUGUCAAGAGUCCAUUUAGCAAGUGAUACGUGCCACAUCUACUUCAUGCAUACAAAGGUGAAUCAUCUCCUUUACACGUGUUCACUUGUACCCUUCGAGGAUGGUAUACUACUUGACAUUCCUUCUGUGUGCAUUCAUAGGUAUUGUCGGAUCUUCAAACAUAGAGAGGACGAGUUCAUGCGGAAGAGAACAUCUACACCAUCCAAGAGGGAAGCCUGGAAGCGGAGAAGGAAGCGCCAAGAAGAAGGCAGCAGCUCCCAGGCGACCCCGUGCGCACGGGCCCCUCCGACCCCGUGCCCACGGGCCUCCCAGGCCGGCGGUCCUGAAGACCCCAUGCGCACGGGCGUGUACCAUGCCCACGGAACCCCUGUGUCCACGGGCCUCACGGACCCCGUGCGCACGGGCCCUUGCGUCCGGUCCCUGGAUACCCCGUGCGCACGGGCUCCACUUACCCUGUGCACACAGGCCCCCUGUGUGAUGCUGCGGGCUUUGCCCUUGUUUUACCAUUUCGCCCCCACCUAUUCCCCUCUUUGCCUAGGACUAUAUAUACUCCUUCAUCUCCUCCAUUUAGACUUAGCUAAGAUGAGAUCUAAACACUAGAGCUUAGCUCAUGUACCUCCCCUUGUGGGAUUCCACUCCAUUGGAGUUCAAGACCUCCAUUGGAGAAGAUCCCUAGUGGAUGAAGAUCCCCUUGAGGGAAGGAUCUAUCUAGAUCAUCAAGCCCUCAUCUCCUUCAUAGGAUUUGGGAUGAACUCUACCAUGUAU